rnacentral:lncRNA from 1 species
CUUUCACUGCAGAUAUGGAUGCUGACGCAGCUCGAAUGCUAGCCCAGGGUCUCAAGGCCUACAAAAGGAAAGGCGCCACAUCCUCGGGGGUGAUGAAGAGGGCCAGGAUAGGGGAGAUGAGCUCAGUCGCACCUGCCUAGGUGGCCAUUGCCAUCGACACCCCCUCUGACGUCGAGCCCGCAGUCCCCCGAGCCUCUUCAAGAAGCCC